ACGUGACAACCCCAGACUGCCCCAAUUGCUCCGGCUAGCCCACGUGACCCUCUGUCCGCUGGGGCGGGGCCGAGUGCGGAGACGCGGCCGUGCGUGUGCGCCUGCGCGGAGACACUGCCGCGACUUUCGCCGGCUGCUGGGAGUUCAGUUUGGUUCUUUGUGGCUUAAACAUCCUCUGCUGUUACAUUGAAGGCAGAUUUGCUAAUGUCUUGACGCAGUCUGUAACUUUGUUCAAAGUCCUAGGAACUUUCUCUGCACUCUUUAGAAAACCGUGUACUAAGGAAAGCCAUAAGCCCGUUUAGGUGUGCCCAUGGCCAUUGUCUUUUUCUAGAAUACCCUGACUUGGAAGGUAAAUGCAAGGCUUAAGGAGCUGCUCAAGUAAUAGUUAAAUAAUUAAAAUGAGAUUCUGGAAACCUUCCAUUUAACCCAAGUAUGUUGUAAUGGAAUUUUACCUGGGGAUUUUGCCAGAAAGGGGACUGACUGUAUUUCCCAGUCUUCUUGUAUCUCCCUGGUCAGUAUCCAGGUGCUGGCCAAUGGGACAAAAGUGGAAGUUUUAUUCAGCACAUAAGAAACCUUUAUUUAAGGAAGACCCCAACUAUGAUUCCUGCCGCUGGAAGCCUAGAACUGCUUUCCUCUGUGCUGUCGUGCCUCUGACACAUAGGUGAUUCUUUGUUGACAGCGGUGUAUGAAAUGGAGCGCUAAGCCACGGCGUUGAAUUGCCUUUCAUUGUGUUUUCUCCAGGUUGAUCUGUGCUGCAAUUAAAAAAUUGUUCAUUUUUCUGCUGUCAUUCUGUGUUUCGUUACAGGGGUCUGUUUCGACUGUGAAUUGAUGAAGGGAAAUUAGAUUUCUUUCCCGAUAAAAGAAAGCAGAGUAGGUCUAAGACACAUUUUCUUCAAAUUGUGAUGAUCUAAUGGCCCUCUUUCAUCCCAAGGAUCUUUCUGGCUAGAGAAAGAACAAAGAAGUCUUUCCUCUGGGCUGUGCAAAAAAAAAAAAAAAAAAAUCUGCUGUUCUUUGACUUUUUUACUAGAUGCCACACCCCCUACAGUUACUUCUAUAGACCCUUGACUAAGUAAGAUUAAGAAAAUAUUAGAACUUUCGGUUCCAGAGGGUUACUCUGCAAAUUACCAUUCCUCUUCCUCAUCAUUAUUCGGUUUGAGAACACUACCACCUCCCCCACAAAAUGUCUCUUAUGCCUGUUUGUUUGGUUUUUUUAAAAAAAAAAAUGCUUAUUUAUGGCCGGCGCUGCUAAUCCUCCACCUGCAGCGCCGGCACCCCAGGUUCUAGUCCCGGUCGGGGCGCCAGAUUCUGUCCUGGUUGCUCCUCUUCCAGUCCAGCUCUCUGCUGUGGCCUGGGAAGGCAGUGGAGGAUGGCCCAAGUGCUUGGGCCCUGCACCUGCAUGGGAUACCAGGAGAAGCACCUGGCUCCUGGCUUUGGAUUGGCGCAGAGCAAUGGCUUCAACGCACGGGCCGUGGCAGCCAUUUGGGGGGUGAACCAACGGAAGGAGGACCUUUUUCUCUCUCUCUCUCUCACUGUCUAACUCUGCCUAUCAAAUAUAUAUAUAUAUUUUAAAGUCAGAGUUACACAGAGAGAGGAGAGGUAGAGAGAGAGAGAGAGAGUCUUCCAUCCACUGGCUCACUCCCCAGAUGGCCGCAACUGAUCAGCUGUCUGAUCCGAAGCCAGGCGCCAAAAGCUUCUUCUGGGUCUCCGAUGUGGGUGCAGGGGCCCAAGGACUUGGCCCAUCUUCUACUGCUUUCCCAGGCCAUAGCAGAGAGCUGGAUUGGAAGUGGAGCAGCCAGGACUCAAACCAACGCCUAUAUGGGAUGCCAGCACUGCAGGCGGCAGCUUUACCCACUGUUGCACAGCACCGGCCCCCCUUAUGCCUGUUUGUAAUAAAGCACAUCAGUAACUUUUCAAAACAGAGGCACACCCUACCCUGUACAGACCAACAAUAUCAAAUUUUUCUAUCAGGGUAGAAAAACAUUGCUAUUUUGUUUUAUAAAACAUCCCAGAUAAUUAAUUUCAUAUGAAAAACUUUUGCUUUCUCCUAAAAUUCUGAGGAAUCCAUACUUUAACCACCUUCAGACUGAUAAUUAUAGCCUCAGUAGUUAAAAUUUCUAACAAAUGUUCUAGGGACCAAGGAAAGAUACCAACUCAGCAUUCAAGGUUCCUAUCAUCCUUUAAUAAAAAGGAGUUGUCUGUAACUUUCCUUGUUUAUUUUCUCUGUUCAAACCUGCCUUUCAGGUUAACCUAUGACUUCAAGUUGACUAAUUUAUUUUCAUGAGAGGUGUUGCAAUACAUAUGUGAUUAAUUAUUUUACAUUGCAAUCUGCAUAAAAUUAUUCCUGUACAUAAACUGUUGAGAAAUGGCUUAAAGUCUAAGUGAAAUUAAUUAUUAUCUUGUAACCACAUGGGAAAUAUCUAAAUGUUACAUUGUCAUUGGUUCUAUUUCAUUGAAAGAAAUUUCAAAUGACUAAUUGACAAAGACUUGAGAGGUAUUGAGCUUGAUCGUGUCUUAUCUGUAUAAACCUAGACAGACUCAACUGUAUAUAAAACAGUUUCUUAGAAAGCAGUUGGAUAAUUAUUCAUUUUAUUCUUGUAACUAAAUUUAAUGAAGUCUUU